GAAUGACACAGCCCAAGGACAUGACAUAAACUGAUUAGAACCAAAUGGGUCCAAGAUGGCAGACAAGUCAACUUCCACUAGACCUUGAGCCUCAGUAUAUGCUCACUGUAACACAUCAGCAAGCUAAAUGACACACCCACAGGCGCCAUGACAGUUCCAAGACUGACAGUAAGGAUCAAAAAGUGGGUGGUGGCCCAAUUCCUGGAAAUCCCCGCCCCUUCCUGAAAUAGCUGGAAUACUCCUCCCACUCAUUAGCCUAUGAAAUUACCCACCUCUAUAAAAACUGACAACCACCUACCCUGGUGCCUUUCUCACCUUCUGAGAUGGCCCACACUCUGUCUGUGGAGGGUGUUUCUCUCUAAAUAAAUCCACUUCUUACCUAUCACCUUGUCUCUCACUGAAUUCUUUCUGUGAUGAGACAUCAAGAACCUGAGCUUCAUUAAGUCCUGAAACCAGGUGUGUGAUCUCAGUUGGAAGACUGUGGGUUUUGGCUGGGUUGGAGUCCUGGCCACGUGGGUUUGAGUCCCAAUCUGAGGUACAUGGUGUCACCCAUGGCCCAGCCAAGUUGACACAUAAAAUUAGCCAUUACACGUAGUUAUCCAGCCUAAGAUUACAGAUCUCACUCAUCUUUUGCUCCAGCUACAAAAGAAUAUUCCCCAUACCUGCCCUGUAUUUUCCAACUUCUAUUCCUUUGCUCAUGCAGUGCCUUCCACCCCUAAUACCCUUCCCUGUCCCUCAGUUCCAUUUAUUGAAAUCCUAUAUUUCCUUCACAAGUAGCUUUAUACCACCUACUCCUGAAAGCGCUGUCAUGUUCUAGCAGAAAAUCUAAGAUAAUUUCAACAACCUCUGUAUCCUUGGGUUUCCUCUUCUGUAAACUAGGGAUAAUGAUUCCUAACACAGUAAAGAUUGCAUGAGCUAAUACACAUAAGGCAGUCAGAACAGUGCCUAUCAUGAGCAUUGAUGGUUUUUUAUUAUUAUUCUCUACCCGUUCCCCCAUUCCCUACUAGGAACGUGUGAAUAAUAAUAAUAAUGGUGAAUGAAAAUUUAGCAGUUAUCUUCAAGGUAAAGUGCUUUGAAAACAGACAUCUACACAUAAAAUUUACUUCUGUUCUCCCCUUUCAUUUGUAUCUCAGUGGUCUUGAACAUCCAAUGGUUAUAAGAUUUACUGUCCAGGGCUGUAAACACAAAACAACGUCUGCUCUAUUCACAAGCAUUAAAGGAUGUUGAAGGAUAAUUGUGACUAUAUGUGAUUUUUGUCUCAUGCACUGAUUCCACGUAGAAUCUAAACAGUGACUCUACUUUGUGUGUUUGGUUUUAACCACUAAAUCCUUUCUCCUGGGGUUUAUUGAGGAAGCCCUGGGGGAAAGUGGUCAGCAAAACGUUUGCCCUAGGCAUGGCUGAGAUGCUCUUAGUUUUCUCACUCUGCCUUUACUUUCACUGGUUGGUCAUAGUGCCAAUGCCUAGGGGUUUAGAGCUCUCAGAAUCGCUCUGAUUCCAACCCUUCAAGGGCUGUCUUCUGGCUGAAUUACUAGCUGUUUAGCAACUGUAUUUCAACAGCUUGUAAGCCUUUCACUAUUGUGGGGAAAUGUAAAUGAGGGACUCUGAGCCCACAAGGGGCAAAUGCUUAGUCAAGUGGGUGUCACCCGGGCAUGAAGACUACAGAGAUGCAAAUGGCCAACCUGAGACAAAGAGCACCUAUUUGUGCCUGGAUGUCACCUUCAGGCAGAGAGACUUCAAUGGGGAAAAUGGCCCAGAGGACCCUUGGUACAGAGUCAAAAGGAGAAGAGAGGAGCGGUUAGACGUGUGGACUUGGCUUUAAGGAGAGCCAAGAGAGGUAGCUGGAGCGGCUGCUUCCCUCCUCAUCAGGCUUGAAUGGGGAAGAAAAGGGCCUUAAGAACCCUGGGACCUACGAGAAGAUGCUACUUCCAAACAGUAUGAAGUUCUGGGAGCGCCAAUAAAUGGCCAUCCAUUUCUUCCAGGGUAAUCACAUCUUUUUCGCAUUUGACCCCCCAAAAUUUAGACACUUACUACCUCAGCCUGUCUAUGCUGUAUAUGAGCAAGAGGUAUGCAUUCUCCAGAUUCUGGAGAAAAUGAAGUAAUCGCCUUAACAAUGAGUCAGGAAUGACAUUCAGCUUCUCUCAGCAGUCAACAGCAAGUUCUUUCGCAAUGCCUCACUGCCUGCCACGUAUCACAGAUUUCCAGCUCCAGUCACUCCAGAUAUUUUCAUUUGUACUCCAGGACAGAAACCACCAUUUGACUUGUGAGCAUUUAGUGGAUUAUGUGCUUCAUAAUCCAUUUCCUUUCCCCUAAGCAUCUAUUUGUAACACUAAGAGGUCUUCAAAGUAGGCAAAAUGUACAAAUAUGGUUCCUAUUUGGUGCCUGCUUAUUCACUGAACAGAAAACUUACUAUCCUCUUUCUUUCCAGCCUGGAACUGGAUGCAUUAUAUUUGUCUCCAGCCUUUUCCUGAAUAGGCUCAUCUCUCACUCUAAAGAGAUGAUCAAAGAGACAAAAAUUAACACAGACCUGUGAAAAUCUAUUAUUUUAUACAAGAGAAGGAGAAAAAUGGCCCAAUAUUCUGGAAUCAAAUGUAGAUUUCUCACUCUCUGAUGUAGAUUUUUUUGUAUGAUAUCAAAAUACUCUUAGAAACUCUUCGCCUUGUGUUUUUAGUAGCUACUACUGAAAUUCUCCUACUAAACAGGAACAGGACGUACUGAAAAUACAAUCAGCCAAACAAGAAGAGACUUUGUGGAAUUUAAAGUGCAGUACCAUUCGGCAUCUAUGUUGGGCAUAGAAAAAUAAUAAAUAUGACACUGUAGAAAACUAUAUUAAUGAAAGGAUAAACUGAAGAAACUAUACUAGAGAACAGAAAAAAUAUAUAUGUAAAUGAGAGAUAAAGAAUAGCUAGUAUAGAAAACAGGUCCCAGGAUCUAUCUUAUUAAUUCUACUGAGAAAGGAAAGCUGAAGCAAUAAUAAGCGAAAAUAUUGUUGACUUUACAAACAAAAUCAACCUAACUGAGUGUGUAUUCAGUGCGUUUUAUCCAAAAUAUUAACAGGUACAAAAAUAUUGGCAAUUAAAAAAAUUUAAAACAGAAGGAAUUAUCUUAAAAAAAGAAAGAGGCUAUUGACAGGAGAAAACAAAAGAAUGACCCUCCUAGGUCUUCCCAUCACAAUGAAUGCCGAAAGGUGAUGAAGAAAUGUCUACAGAGAUAUGUAGAGAGGAGGUUAUUACCUACAAAUUCAGAAAAAAUUGUUAUCUGUGACAACAAUAGAAAGAUGUUCUCAGAAAUGUAAGAACUAUGAAAAUGUAUAUUUCAUCACUCCUCCUGAAGGUUCCUGAGAAUGUCCACCAGAAAAUCAUGAGGGGAGUCCAAAGUAAGAUCUUAGGACAAGAAGGAGGAAAGAACUGGAAAUAAGUACUGAAACCAGUACCAGCAUACACACACACAAUUACCCUGGGUUUUUUUUUUUGGCCACACCACACGACUUGUGGGAUCUCAGUUCCCUGACCAGGGACUGAAUCCAGACCAAGGCAGGGAAAGCCUGGAAUCUUAAUCACUAGGCCACCAUGGAACUCCCAGAGGAAAGGAUGAUUGUAGUUUUGUUUUGUUUUGUUUUUCCACACACACAAUUAUUAUCAAUGUGCUUAUGGGAGCUUGAAUAUAAAAAGUAAAUUGAAUGGAUAAUUAUAUUUUUAAUUGUUCAGUUAAGGGACUUCCCUUGUGGUCCAGUGGUUAAGACUAUGCACUCCUUGGGGCUUCCCUGGUGGUGCAGUGGUUGAAAGUCCGCCUGCCGAUGCAGGGGACAUGGGUUCGUGCCCCGGACUGGGAGGAUUCCACAUGCCACGGAGCGGCUGGGCCCGUGAGCCAUGGCCACUGAACCUGCGCAUCCAGAGCCUGUGCUCUGCAACGGGGGGGGCCACAACAGUGAGAGGCCUGCGUACCACAAAAAAAAAAAAAAAAAAGACUAUGCACUCCCAAUGCAGGGGGCCCAGGUUCAACCCCUGGUCAGGGAACUAGAUCCCACAUGCCACAACUAAGAGCCCGCAUGCCGCAACUAAAGAUCCCACGUGCCACAACUAAGACCUGGCGCAGCCAAAUAAAUAAAUAUUAAAACCAAUUAUUCAGUUAAAAUUAUUGGAAAUGUGGAAAAAUAGAUGAGAAAGAAAGAACACUUGGUUCCUCAUUCCAUGUAAAGAGGAGUAAAAAAAUUAAAUGUUUACUUUUAAAUAAAAUAAUAAAUAUGCUCUUCUGGUUGUCUGUUAUCAACUUGCUGUCAUUCUGCAUGGCUGCAGAGAAGCCAGGAACUACCUUUCCUAGAAUCACCCUCCCUGAAUGGUUCUGGGUUAGAUUUUGCCCAGGAGAGAUGCUCUUGAGAAGUCUGGAAGGAGAGGUCUUUGUGACCACAAAAGUGGGUAGUCCUGUGACUUCACAGUGGCUUCCCAGUGAGUCCCAAGAAUCACCUGCUUUAGACCUUCAGGCUCAGAUCUUGGUAUGGAUUCACUGACCUUCCCAGCCCUGCUCUUCCAAAGUUGUGCCAGCCCUAGUUCCUGUUUUAAACUUUUCAUUCCUGGAAUACCUAGACAGUGGUUUUCCUGACUGAAGCCUAGUGAUACAUUUGACUUUAAGAAUUACUUCAUGAUUUAGUCACCACUCAAAUUUAAAGCAGGAAAUCUAAUUUCCAAAUCAUUGCAGAAGAUAAAAGCAAACAAAAUACUCUCCCUAUAGCAAAAAACAGAAUAGAAAGUAAACAGAAAACGUAAGGCAUAAAGCAAGAUGUCAGAAGUAACAUCAGGCAUAACAGUUACGCCAACAAACAUUAACACUUUUAAACCCCUUUAAAAAUAGGCAAAGAUUCAGGUUGGAGCAAAAACAACAAAGCGAUUCAAUGACUGCUUACCAAAGAUGACUUAAAAUGAUACUAAAAGAUUGAAAAUAAACGGAUGGGGUAUGGACAUGUCAUGCAAACAUAAACAAAAAGAAAUCAAAAAGAAUUUAAUGUAACAAAGAUUAAACAGGAUAAUUAGAAUUUUUAGAACGUUUAGACACCUAGUUACAUUCUCAUUGUAAAAAGUCCAAACAAUACAGAAUUAAAUAGAGGUAAAGGUAAGCACUGAUAACAUUUUGCUGCUUAUCCUUUUAGUCUUCUAUCAUUUAUUGAUUAUAUAUCUAUCAUCUAUGUUAUAUUGACUCUAAGAUGUAUCUAUUUUUUAAAGUUCCAUUAUUUCCUGUACAUCCAAGAAAGGAAAACACUAUGAGUUAAAUUAUGACAUGCUAGCAACUGUGAGAUGCAUCCCAAUUUUAGAUAUUAAAAAAUAUUUGAAUCUUAACAAUGGAUUUAUUUCUAACGUAUUUUUAUAAGAAUUGACUUACUUUAUAUAAGGGUUUUCUUAUUUGUCUAUCUAUAAUAUUAUCUUCUGUCAUUUUAUUUCUUUUCCUAAUGAUAUGACUUGGUAGAUUGUUCUAUUUCACGUCAUAACUAUCUACCCCAAUAAAAAUGCUACAUGGUGUUUCAUAACUUGCAUGUAUCAUCAUUUAUUAGUUCUUUUCUUUAAAUGUUAAACUUAAUAUUUAGGUUAUUUCCAUUAUUUUUUGCAAUGACAAAAUGCUUCAAUGAUCACUUUACACAUUCUUAUGGAGCAUCUGUGUGCCGUUUUUCUAGAAUAGAUAACUUGCUCUCUCAAGUAUAAGCACCUUUAAAACUUUGGUAGAACUAGCAGAUUGUCCUCCACCAAGACCAUACCAGUUUAUUGUCCCAUUAAUACUUGCUUCCUCAUCAAAAUGGGUAUUGUUAUCAUUAUAUACAUUUUUGCUGAUUUGGUAAGUUGUUUUCAUCUCCACUUUCUUGAUUACCAGAGAGGUUGAUUAACUUAUCAUGUUUAUUGCUCAUCACAUUUCUUCUGUGAAUUGCCUUUUUAUAUCCUUUGCUCAUUUUUCCAUUGGAGUGUUUUUUUCUUCUUGAUUUGUGGAUUUCCUUAGUGUUGAGGAUAAUAGUUUGUCGACCCAUUAUGUACACUGCAAAUAUUUUCUCCCCCUGUGCUGCUAUUUUUACUUUAUUAUGAUGAAAUCUGUUAUCUGGAAUAUCAAAUAGAUAUAAUCAAUUAUGUCAAUCUUUUCCUUCACAGAUUUUAGGGUUUGUAUCCUGAUUAAAAAACACUUAAUUCCAAAUCAUUUGAAGUCUUCUCCUAUAUGUUCUCCCAAUAAAGAAAUGUAUUAUUUCACUUAAGAUGUCCAGAAGUAAGGUGGAUUUAGGCUGGUAUGGUCAGUGGCCCAAUGACAUUUUCCUGAACUUGACUUCUUUUCAUUCCAUUGUCGAUACUGGCUUUAUUUCAGGCUGCCAACAAGAUGGCUAGUGCAGGUGCAGAUUUCAUAUGCAGAGUUCAUAGCAAAUCCAGAGGAACAAAAGGGAUUGUGUUUUCCUGUUUCUCUUCCCUUUUCUUUUUUUUUUUUCCCUUUUUUUUUGGCCGCGUAGUUUGUGGGAUCUUAGUUCCCCAACCAGGGAUUGAACCUGGGCCCUCGGCAGUGAAAGCAUAGAGUCCUAACCACUGGACCGCCAGGGAAUUCCCAUGUUUCUCUUCCUUGGAAACAUGAAAAUCUUUUCCCAAAGUUUCAAAAUACUUCCCCUCAUGUCUUGGCCCAGGGAAACGUGGUGACUGUGAAUACCUUAGAUUAAUCCUUUGGGGUGCACAGCUGGUGGGGGUGGUCAAGCACAAUGAUCACCACGAACUCUUUGUGAAAUUUUUCAUGUCUGACUCUUUACCUGAAAUUACUUUGCGCGUGGUGCUAGGUAAAGACCACCCCCUUAAUGAAUAUCAAAUUAUUUGCUUAAUGAAUAUCAAUUAUUUGCUUAAUUUUAAUACCAGUUAUUGAUUAAGUUAUGGUUUUGUUAUUAAAAAUGCCACUUUUAACACACGUGCACAUAUACACACGGACACACAUGUGUGGGUCUCUGGACUUGCUUCUCUUCUGGGUCACUAUAUGUUUAUUUCUACACCAAAGUCAUCAACUCCGUUGUGUUUUGCUAUGUGGGAAGACAGCCCCACCCACUUCUGAUUUUGUGCUUUCCAAAAAUUUUUGUUAUUUUCAGAUGAUUUCUUGGACAUUACUGAAUCAGCUUGUAAGGGUAAAAGAAUAACCUUCUGUAGUUUUGAAUAGGAUUGAUUGCAUUAAAUACCUAUUGUUUAGGAAAAGAAUCACCAUCUUCACAAUACUGAACCUCCCAAUCUAGGAUUAUUCGGGUCAUUUUUUAUAGCUCUCAGAGAGAUUUAUUGUUUUCUCCAUAUUAAGCCAUACACAUUUGUUACUGGGUAUGUUAGUCUGUUCAGGCUGCCAUAACAAAAUACCACAGACUGGGUGGCUUAAACAACAGAAAUUUAUUUCUCACAGUUCUGGAGGCUGAAAAGUCCAUGAUCAAGGUGCUGGACGAUUUGGUCUCUGUGAGAAUUCUCUUCCUGGCUUGCAGACAGCUGCCUUUUUGCUUUGUCCUCACGUGAUUGAGGGUGGGGAGAGAGAAAUCUUCCCCUUCUUAUAAGGUCACAUCCUAUUGGAUUAGGGCACCACCCUUAUGACUUCAUUUAACCUUAGUUACCUUCUAAAGACCCUGUUUCUAGAUAGAGUAACACUGGGGGUUAGGGGUUCCACAUAUAAAUUGUGAGGGGCGCAAGGGGCACAGUUCAGUCCGUAGCAUUAGGCUUGUUAUUGGGAUUUCAUAGUAUCUGAAGAUAGUAUGAACAGAGAAAGAACUGUUCAGCAGAGCAGAGUCACGAGGAGACAUGGGGGGGGCCUUCCCUGGUGGCGUAGUGGGUUAAGAAUCCAACUGCCAAUGCAGGGGACACGGGUUCAAGCCCUGGUCCAGGAAGAUCACAUGUGCCUCAGAGCAGCUAAGCCCGUGCACCACAACUACUGAGCCUACGCUCUAGAGCCCAUGAGCCACAACUGCUGAGCCCGUGUGCCACAACUACUGAAGCCCGUGCACCUAGAGCCCAUGUUCCACAACAAGAGAAGCCACCGCAAUGAGAAGCCUGUGCACUGCAAUGAAGAGUAGCCCCAGCUCGCCACAACCAGAGAAAAGCCCGCGCGCAGAAACGAAGACCCAACACAGCCAAAAAUAAAAUAAAUUAAAAAAAAAAAAAAAGAGGA